AGAAGUGGCCACGCUAACCCGCAAGGGAGGCAGGUCCCCAAGGAGUGUUUGGUAACUGGGGUGAAGUCGUAACAAGGUAGCCGUAGGGGAACCUGCGGCUGGAUCACCUCCUUU
rnacentral:rRNA from 1 species